UCAUAUUGUAGUUGUUUUAUAUAGUCGUGUAGAGUCUAAAUCAAGUUGGACGAUAUGGAAAGAAUAUUACUUCUGUAAACGUCGAGUUUUUUUUUUUUUUAUAUAAGCUAAACUGGUCCUAACAAGUGUUAUCUAAUCAACAACUGCGUGCUCCAUAUCUACUGAUACAGAGGAAUUUUUUUCUGUCCUGUUCUGUUCUGUUCCUGUAUUCAGUGCUAGCUCGCGAUCUACUUGGCAAUUGGAUUUUACUUUAUAGUGUUCUUCUGAGCCGGAAAUGAACAAGAUUCAGCUGGUCCGUCCUUCCAACAUUUCGAGCAUUUGGAUCAAUCUACAUUGAGGUUUCAAUGUCAGGAAGCACUGCAGCGUUCUCCUAUAUAUCGUUGCAGAAUUUCCUGAAAUCCUGACGUAGUUUGACUUCCGCUCACCGUCAUGAUGUCAGCUGCAAGUGGGACGACGGAUUAGAGAGACAUGGUGAAGGAUUUCCGGGAGAUUUCGAAAGGAGGGAACUCGACUAGUCCAUACAUACUUGGCUAUCUGUGGAUGACAGC